AUCACCUCCUGCCAUGUGGCCAGCAGUGCAUCCUGGGACUCAAAGUCAGAGAGCACACUGGAGGACAGCGGGGAGGAAGGCUGGCAGUCGGUUCCAGAGAAACCAUCAUCACACCUACAAGAGGACACAGCAGAGAGUUGACCUGCAGUGUCCGUGGUCACACCAGCCAUGUCCGUGGCACAUGUUCGGGCACUGCUGUCCGAUGUAGAUGUCAUCCAGGGCCCACUCGUCCUGCUCGCCAUAGUAGUUCUGUAUCCACCGGAACCGUGUGGCACUGGACCUGAACAAAGAGGAGACAGAGUGAUGCGUCUCCAGUCUUUGAACUCCGAUGGGUGGUAGACACUGGGAGCUGUAAACUCAGAGCAGCUCGGCAUGCCGGGCAGACAGGCCUAGGAUGACUUCUACAAGUUUUGGUUGUAAACAAAGAGUGAGCCAGGCUGUGCAAACAAAGGGGAUCUGGCGUCAGCGAUCACUUUACAAGGGAAGGAAAGCUGAACAUGUUUCAGGCCUCUUACCUCUUUGACC